AGUGAACGCUGGCGGUAGGCCUAACACAUGCAAGUCGAACGGCAGCACAGUAAGAGCUUGCUCUUACGGGUGGCGAGUGGCGGACGGGUGAGGAAUACAUCGGAAUCUACUUUUUCGUGGGGGAUAACGUAGGGAAACUUACGCUAAUACCGCAUACGACCUACGGGUGAAAGCAGGGGACCUUCGGACCUUGCGCGAUUGAAUGAGCCGAUGUCGGAUUAGCUAGUUGGCGGGGUAAAGGCCCACCAAGGCGACGAUCCGUAGCUGGUCUGAUAGGAUGAUCAGCCCCACUGGAACUGAGACACGGUCCAGACUCCUACGGGAGGCAGCAGUGGGGAAUAUUGGACAAUGGGCGCAAGCCUGAUCCAGCCAUACCGCGUGGGUGAAGAAGGCCUUCGGGUUGUAAAGCCCUUUUGUUGGGAAAGAAAAGCAGCAGGUUAAUACCCCGCUGUUCUGACGGUACCCAAAGAAUAAGCACCGGCUAACUUCGUG
rnacentral:rRNA from 1 species